UAUGAAUCUAGUGGAAUCACUUCUGCACAAACUUGACUACUGUAAUCAGUGUGCGGAAAUGCUUCUGCUACAUUUUUA
rfam:Phalacrocorax carbo contig22266, whole genome shotgun sequence.